UUCAUCAUCAGUUUUUUAUUCCAUGGUGAUUUGCUGUGAAGUUCAACUGUUCUGUUUGUCUUUGAGUGCAGCUGUUAGGAAGAAGAGUCUUUUCCAUCCUUAGAGUAGAAUGAAUACCUCUAUGUGUCAAAAAGAUCAAACUAACCCUUGCUGUAUCAUGAAAAAUAAAUACCAGAUGAGAAGUACAUUGCAAGUUUGAGCAAUCCGUGGUAUAUAGGUGCUCAAGGCCAAAGAUGUUACCUUUUGUCUCUAAAGGGCAAAAUAGAUCUGGUGCUUUAAAAAUAGUAGUUCAAAAGAAGGAAGGCAUAAUUGUUCAGUGCGAAGUUUUCAAAAAAUAUAGUGAGUAGCAGAAGGUGUUUGAGCUCCAGAAUGAAUGAAAACUGGCUUCUAAUGGAUUUGUCUUAUGUUUGCUUAAUUUUUCAAUGCGUGGCAGUGUCAGAUUGUCUUUUGUCAGAUAUCACAGAAUGCAAGAAGCCGGGUGCCAUCAGUGAUCCACGAUGAAGGCAGGCUUCUCUUGAGAGUUGCACCUGACUGCACGUUUGAAAAGACGACACAAGAGAGAUGCUGGAUAUGUGAGUAGGUUCGUCAGUUUUUAUGACUUUCCUCUGACAAGGGGACAAGCUGAGCAAAGGACAGACGAUGGGUGGGAGUGCUGUUGUGGCACUGCUGUAAGAACCAAGGUACUGGCCAGGCAAGUUGCUUUUAUUCCCUUGUUUCAAAAAGAACAGAAAGCACUGCUUUAUGGUGCAUUGAGGCAUUUUCUGUAAAGCUUAAAAAAAAAAAAAAAAGAGAGAGAGAGAGACAUUUCACUCUUCCUUAGAAGCAAGUACUCCUUAAAUGAAGUACUUUCAGGGGCAAAGAUGUUGGGCUUAGAGAAUCAAGGGUAUGACUGGGGAGAAAUAUCUGGUGUUCCUAUUAAAGCAGUGUACAUAAAGCAUAAAUACAUCUGGUAUAGCAGGUAGUAAAAUGGAAGUGUGUUUAUUUCAACAGAAUACUCCAUCACUAAGUAAGAAAGAAAAGCUGUGCUCUAUCACCUCAUUCUGUUGUAGGAACACAUUUCCAUAUAUUACAGUAAGAUCUCAGAGCUUUCUUACAUCCAAUCCUUGUGUUUCCCCGUGUUUUACUUUUUUAGGCUAGACUUAUACAGAAAUAAGGUAAAUUCAUUUUUCUGCACGAUUUUGAUUGCAUGCAUUGAGAAAAAGAAAUAGCUGAUUGUGUUGCAGCUGGCCUUCACUGUGCAUAUUUUUAUUGUUAAUUAUCAUCAUUUUAAUAGGAUUUUUUUUCCCAUAUCUGUGUACAACUAAGUAUCUUACUGAGAUAGAAAAGAGAUUAUCUGCUUGCAGGAUCUCAUUGACCAUGCUUCUGGAAUAACAGCAUCGCACAUUAUCUCAGGAAAUGUCUCUUGUGGUAAGUGUGUCUGUCUUGAGAACGAGAGCCACUAUGGAAUCUCUGUGAGCAAAAAUUGUUUUAACAGAGAAUUGUGGAAAAUAAAUUGUAUAGAUUGUGUCACAGUGAGAUGCUACUUCUUCAAGUAAAAUUGCACCAGUAUUUGAUUUAUAAUUUCUUUUUGUUGCCAUUCGUAGGUCUCAAACUUCAGAAUUACUUGUAGCUUCUAGGUGAGAACAGUGGGAGUGAGAGAAAGAGGCAAGAUAGAGUGAAGUAUGACAACAGGAGAACAGCUUCUUGAACCACUCCUUAGUUAUAAAGAAUUGUUGAUGGAGUUGUAACAAUUUAACAUUGCUUAUGGGCUUGAGAAAAAAAAAAAAACAAUAGUAGUGAUUAUUUUGGGGACUGUGGGGUUGUUCUGUGCAUACUUCUCUGUGGAGACUAUAAAGUUAAUGAAAAUCCAUAGGAACUGUAAUUACAGUCUCUCCUGAAUUUGGGGUAUGUCUUUUAUAGUUCAUUGUUUUGAUUAAUACCCAGUGCACCUAUUUAACUUCAGUUAAAUGAAUGGCAGCACAAAGCACAUGGGUUCUACUUCUGCAGCUUGAGGAGGUGCAGAAUGUAGCUAUUCUACUUUUUCGUGAAAUCUCAUUCACCAGUGAUAUCUUUUUUAUGUAGUAAGUGCAAAUUAAGUAAGCCUGAAUUGGUGUUUUGUAGUCUACCAGGGAAUCAUUUUGAUACUCUGUGUUGGGGGAAUAUAGAUCUUCUCUUUAGGAAAAAAAAUAAAAUCUUUAAUAUGGAAAAUAACUAGAAUAGAAUUUGAUUAGCACUCUUCAUUCAAAACAUUGCUAAAAUAAAUAAGAUCACUUAUAAGUGUUAGCACUUGAGAUUAAAAGCUGAAGAUGUGCCUGUAAUGUAUUACAUUGGAAUGAGAAUAUUAGUACGAACUGUAAUUUUUCAAAACAAAAAACAAAACACACAUAUGAAUGGAAUCUAAGGCUCAGAAUUACAAACAAUCAGUCAUUUUACAUUCUCCACAUCAACUGCUGAGAGGAGAGCAAAGGGCUAUGAGUGAAUUGCCUUCAUGGGGCACAUAGGUGAUGAUAUUUUGAUCACAUUUUGAUCCACCCAUUGUUUGGAGUGUGGAGUUUAAAUAAGGUAAAAUUUAGCAAUUUUCCAGAGUGGAAAGGCAAAACAUAAAAUAAGCUAAAAGCUGCCCCCCUUUCUAUGAACUCUGUGACUACCCAAGUGGGAACAGAACCAGAUGUACAUGUGUGUUUUGAAGAUGGUUAAUGAAGCUCAUGUGAAGGUGAUCAGUGUAGAUAAGCAGCACAUUGACUUUCUAGAGACUUCCUAACCAUACUAAUUUCAUUUACCUGAACCUACUAAGCACAACAGUGGUUAAAAAAAUGCACUCUCCAGUGCUAGACUGUAUGCUUUGUGAUUUUGAGGUAAGUGACUUGAUAUAAACCUUAUAGGAUGAUUGCAUUUUCCUGCACACGCAGGCACAGUACGUUGGAGCAGGGCUGUCUAAUGGUCCAGCUCUCUCAGCUCUUCUGUGGUGACCCUGCUAUAUGCAUAAUUAAUUGCAACUGGGGUUGCUUGGGUGCUACACCUCACCUUUCUCAAAGGUCAGUGUGCAGGGUGUUGAAGCCAGAAGGUAGUGGUGUGCUUCACCAGUUUCCUUCCAUAUGUGAACCUGCUACUUGGUUACUGCUGCUCAUCCUGCUCAAAAAGUGUUUCCCACAGGAGUAGCAUGAACCCUUCCAUGAACCUCCUGCUAAUUGCUAUGCUGGCGCUUCAAGGCAGGAGAGCAGCGAGCUUUUGUCCUUCAGAGGUAAGCCCGUGAACCCCGUGUCUAGACAAGCAGGGGAGAAUGUGACUGUGGGGACAUGCUGGCUGCACACUGCUGGGAUUUAUUACUCAGUUCUCCCCCUAGUGAGGGGACAUUUGCCUUCAUCUAAUACCACCCCUUAUAUAUUUGUGUUAGUUGGGAAAUGUUUAUUUCCUCUGCACUGUUCAGGAUUUCUCAGUCAUACAGAAAUACUUAAGAUUAAGACCUUAAUAUUUAAUAAGCUCUCUAUUGUUAAAGAGCGAGCAAGCCUGCCAAUGUGAGAUUGGGCUGGCAGCUCAGUGGAUUAAUGGAAACAGAGUUGGCUUUAAAAGCCCUGAAUGAUAAUCUUUAAAUAUGCUUAGGCAUUGUGGUUGUGCAGUUUCCCUGGGGAAUCAUCAUAUUCUCUGCUUCAGAAAUUGUAUUGAAGACAUAACUGAAACUACAGCACAACGUUGCCUACUGGCAAAUCUACUUUCAUUCCUGGGGCUUAAAUUCCUUGUGUGUGUCUGUAUAUGCUGAAUGUCAUUCCUUCAGGGUUUUCAUUUCUUAUUAUAUUGUUGCCACAGGAACAAUUUUACCCAAACCUUAAAAAAAAAAAAAAAGAGUUGCAGAGCAACUUUCUUCCUUGAACAGAGAUCUUGUUUAAGCUUUCAAAUAAGCAAAUGUAGCUAUAUGGAAAUACUGAAAUGGAAAUUAUGUUGAGGCUAGUGAUGUGUGCUAUCAGUAAGCUAGCCAGAGGAGAUUUGAAAAAGACUGGCUCAGAUGGCUGCCUGAAUUUAUUUUUUUUUAACUCCUGUCUGUGAAAUUCCGUGGUGCUUCUGGUUCAUGUAACCCAUUUCAAUACUAAUUCAUUCUCUGAUAGAGAUCUGAGUAGCCCCACUGCAGAUGAUAAUGUAGACACAGUGUGGUGCAUUCUGGGAUGUCUUCAGAUAAAUUGAAAGACUUGAGAAUAUUUUCAUUGUAGGAGAUUGCUUUUUCUUAUUUAUGUAAGAACUUACCAGUCUGAAAGGUGUCUGGACUUAAAGUUGCUUUUCUUGUGUACACAUUUCUGGGGAUUAUCUCAAUUUCAAUUUAAUUUGCCACUUCACUUCAUGCUAUAAAGCUCUCAGAGAAACUUUAAUUUUCAGUGAGAGGUCACUAGAUUAAAAUGAAAUAAGCGUGCAUCAAUCAGAACUGUAUUUGUUGUCCCGAAUUUCUGUUUAUGCUUAACAGGAGCUGCUUGUGUAAGGCACCAGAGCACCCAGCUGUUUGGUGCUAGAUCUGAUUGUGUAACUGCACACCCUUACGGUUUGUAUGAUUGCACCGAUGUUAAGGAAACUUUCACUUGCAGGACACUGUGCUCCAUAUGAGUAUGUGGACCAACGAUAUGUUGGCUCUGGUGUGCUGAGUUCUUUUAAAUGUCAUAGAUCUCAGAAGUUUUUGGUAACGUUUAAAUUGCGUAUAAAUUCACCCCCACUGCUCCCUGGAUUGAUCUGCCUGUGAGGCUGGAGGUACUGAAGGUUGGAGGGGCUAAGAGAAAUCAGUGUUUGUAUCCCUUGGAAUUGUUUUCAUCAUCCUGUGUCCUGCAUUAGUUCUGUGAAUGUGCGGCAUCUGGGGGGAGUAGCUGGGAUUUCAGUCAUAACCUUGGAAGAGGACAGGAAAGCUGCUAGAACAGAAGGAAAGCAGGAUCAAAGGCACAAGGUAAACCAAAUGGCACUGAACACUUACACGCAGACAUUCAACCUUGUAUACUGUAGCUGGGGUUGGUGACUGCCCCCCUUUUCUGAACAGCAGCAUGCUGCAGACAGGGAUCUGCACGUUUACACAAGACUCAACACCCCCAGUCUGCAAAAUCACAGGGUUUUAGACAUACUGCAGCCCUGAUUCUGUUCUGGGAGCAUGUUUUUGAAAGAACACUGUAUGUUGUCCAAGGGCUCAGCAUGUAUUUCAUGGGAUGCUGCUCUAUUGUACCUUACAGUGGGAGGGGAAAAAAACGCUCUGCUCAGCUGGAUAAACUGGAGUACCAUGUCACCCAUUUAAAAAAAUAAAUAAGCUUUGCUUGCAUUGGAAUAAUCUGAUUCUGAGAAAAUGAUAAAUACGUUUAUAUUGAAUGUACAUUAACUCUUGAUUCCAUCAGAAACUAGAGUGUGAUUUGCAGUAAGCUUUUAAUUAUGCCCAUUUUUCAUGUGAUGAUAAUUCUUUUAAACCUAUGAGCAUGUAUUUCAAAGAGCACUUUGAUAAUGAAGAAUGGACUGUGUCACAGUAACCAGCUGUGGUGCACAGUUAGGAAUAAAAAGGUGUUUAAUAGGGAAGAACUUGAAUGCAUGGACUUCACAGGAAGGAGAUUUAAAACUUCAAUUUUUAUUAGCACCAAAUAUCAAGCAAGUUUCAUGACAACAAGCUGUACUUCCAAGCUGGUAAGUUGUUUAGGGAAAGUGAGUGGGUAAUUAUAUGACACAUUAAUUCAAUUUAUGUACUCUUGUGUUUGCAUUUGUUAAUCCACGAUGCCUUCAGUUGUGCACAGGUCUGAGUUCACAGUUUCUGUAGGAAAUGUUAGGAGUAUUUCAACUAUGAGGUUUAGGGACAUCUCUGUUCUUGAAAGACCAAGACACAGCUGCUCACCAGGAGAACAAUCAAAGCACCUCUGACUUCUGGGGCAAAAUAUUCCUAUUUCUAACAUACCUGUCACGUUCCUGCAGCUGAGCUUGUAGCAUGAAGAAUUUUUCCAAUGGCCCUUCUGCACUUGCAGCCCGGUGCAGUCUCCCUACUCAGCUAAUGCCAGCGUGACCUUCAAGUUAAGCCACUGCAGUUACAAAGACUGAGGCCGUUGGUGGGGAGGGAGGAGUGCUGAGGAUUGUAAAGAAACUUUCUGUGACUUCGGCUGUCACAAGCAAUCUGGUGUGGGCAAGUGAGUGAGAGCAGAGUUUCCAAGAAAGCACUAGCAGGAGACAGUGCUGAAGUGCUCUUUUCCGGUAGUAUUUGCAAAUGCUUCAUCUUAAUUGAGCCUGUAAAUAUCAUUAAUUCCCUUGAGAGGAGGGGAGGGCUCGGUUCCUUCAGAAAUGAAAGCAAACUAAAAAUUGUCCAGUAGGAUUUUGGUGUGGUUUUUGUUGUUUUUGGUUUUGUUUCUGUUUCUAGUUUAAGUUGUCUUGGACAGUUAGCUUGCACAAGUAGAAAUGCAG